AUGCAUGAUGACUGUAAGUCGCUUUGGAUAAAAGAGUCUGCUAAAUGGCAUAGU
rfam:Salmo salar isolate Sally breed double haploid chromosome ssa01, whole genome shotgun sequence.